AAUUCCCGUUUGGGCUUCUACAACCAGGCUGUCUCAAUGUGAACGUCAAGACACGGAGGGGGAAACGGAGAACUUCCGUGUUCCUCAGCCCAGUACCGAGAUGGUCACCAACCCCAGCAAGCAGGAUGCCGAACAUUGGGAUUCCCACGAGGGCGAAACAGAUGCAAAAGAGCUUCCCUCCAUCUGACUUAGGGGAGAUGUUUCCGUAGCCUGUACAUGUCAUGACAGAGGAAUCUACAUCACACUUUAAUCCAAUGCCUGGAGAAAGCUUCCAGACACAGAAAGGAAUCAGAAUGAGGAAGGAAGGAGCGCUCUGCACGGAAUGACGGCGUCGCUGUAUCCUACGUGCACAAAGGAGCGAAAUCACAGCUCCUUCCUUCCAGCUGCUCAAACUUUGGCCAUCGUUCUUCCCAGAAAAAUGGAGCUGCAGAGCAUUUUAUUAUUAUUCUGUAUUUUUGUGUGAACCUCCACGCUUCAACUUGCCUGUCGCUUUAAACCUGCAUUUUUCCACUGAGGGACAAUUAAACAUUUCUACUCAAAUUUCAA